GCAAGUGGAAGGAGAACAUACAUACCUUACCUGCUGUGUACUGCAUGUGCUGAUCAGGUUUUUAAAGAGCAGAUACAGCUUCAGUAUCUGAUUUCCAAGAAUUCCCUGCUUGUCACAGAGAUUACUUUAAUUUCUCUCUUUGGAGAGAUGUGAUUAUUUCUCUGCUUUAUAUCCUUUUAUGUAAUAUGCUACUUGUCCCUUAUCAAAUACCUCCUUGAAAAGGUGAAUGCUAAUGUCAAAGAAUUUACAUAAAAGAAAAACAAAGCAUUUUUUUUCCUAGUUGUUGGCAUAGAACAAUUUGCCUUUUGAAGCAGUAAAAUUCAUUGGUGACAAUAUUGUUACAACAUAUUUAAACUAAUAAAGCAUUGAUCCUGCAGGGGAACAUAAUUAGCUCUGCAGAAAUACAUGCAGGGGAGAAAGUCAAAAAAUUGUUGAGAAGUGACUUGAAUUGUAAGUAAGGGGUGCUGAUAUUUUUACUAUACAUACAAUACAGGUGGAGCUGCCCAUGUGUUAAGGCACUCAGCUAAAUGGAACGUAGAAGGGAAUGAGCAACGUCUUUUUUAAUUUUUUUUUCUUUAAAAAUAUGUUGUUUAAUUGCUAUUUGGUCUUUGCAUUAUUAUAUUCCCUCACAGGACUUGAAGGAGUGCUAAGAGGUGCGGCCUUGCAUGUCGGUAACCUGAAGUGCUACUUGUCAGAUCCUCCUGCUUCACAGCCCUGAGCUACGUGGUGGCCAGAGCUGAAGGCAGUAGAAGAGAGAGCAGGACAGCACAGCAGCUCCAGCCCAGGAAAACAGGCAGGUAGGAGAGAAAUGGGGAGCAGCAGCCAUGACGGGCAGCAAGGAUGAGGAGUAGGCUUAUGUGAAAGAGGAAUGGAAAGAGAGCUGCACACAUCCUGCACUACUGGCCACGUUGCAAGAGGAUGGCUGCCUUCAUAUCCGUAGAGGAGAGGCUAACGCUGUCCAUGUGCAGCAUGGUCAGACAGAGUACAGGUCUGCUAUCGUGUGAGCACCGUUGCAUUCAGUCUUCCAGGGAAUCACGUGUAAGACAACCCAGCUGGAAUCAGAGCUGCAGCAAUUCAGCUCCGCACACACCUUACUUUCAGAAGGGAACACAGAAAACAGUCAUUUUACCUCUGAUCUCUCUGUCCUAA
rnacentral:lncRNA from 1 species